AUGUGGGAUGCUAAAAUGACAUCGCAACCUCCUAAAAUCCUGGUGUGGAACAUGAGAGGGCUUAACUCGCCGGCACGUAGAAAUACCAUCUUCCAAGAGGUAGAUGCGGUCAAGGUGGAUAUAGUGUGUCUUCAAGAAACUAAGAUGGAGGUCAUUUCGGAUGAUAUUGUACGACAAACCCUUGGCAAUAGAUUUGAAAAUUUCUGUUACGUUCCUGCCGUGGGCACUAGAGGUGGAAUUCUACUUGCAUGGGAUCACUUGGUGGUGUCUGUCACCAAUCGAUACUUAACGCCGAAUACCCUUACGGCACUCAUCAAGCAGGAAGGGCUGCCUUUGUGGUGGCUUACUGGAGUUUAUGGGCCACAGGGCGAUGUGGAAAAUGUGAAUUUCCUUGAGGAGAUUCGUGAUGUCCGAGACCUGCAUGCAGGGCCGUGGGCAAUUGUGGGCGAUUUCAACUUGCUUGUUAAUCCGGAGGACAAGAAUAAGGCCACGUCCAAUAGGCGCAUGAUGGCUAGGUUCAGGGCCAUGCUUAAUCGGCUAGAGCUCAAAGAGUUAUACCUUAAUGGAAGGCGCUACACGUGGAGCAAUGAACGUCGACGCCCAACGAUGGAGAAAAUAGACCACGUGUUCGUUACUAACUGUUGGGAAGAUAUAUACCCAAGGAGUCUACUUACUACUCUCGGUACGGCAAUCUCGGACCACUGCCCAUUGCUAGUGGAUUUGGAUGCGGAGUUUGAGGUGGGCCACCGCUUCAAAUUUGAGUGCUUUUGGCCCAAAGCAGCAGGAUUUUAUGAUACGGUGGAGCAGGCGUGGAAGUCCAUCCCCUCCGUGGGCAAUCCGUUCCUAGUUCUGGACAGGAAGCUGCGUACCACGGCGAAGGCCUUGCAAAGUUGGAGUGAUCGUUGGACUGGCAACACCCGCCUCUAG
rnacentral:rRNA from 1 species